rnacentral:misc_RNA from 1 species
GAUGAAGAACGUAGCGAAAUGCGAUACGUAAUGUGAAUUGCAGAAUUCAGUGAAUCAUCGAGUCUUUGAACGCACAUUGCGCCCCCUGGUAUUCCGGGGGGCAUGCCUGUCCGAGCGUCAUUGCUGCCCUCAAGCACGGCUUGUGUGUUGGGCCUCCGUCCUCCUCCCGGGGGACGGGCCCGAAAGGCAGCGGCGGCACCGCGUCCGGUCCUCGAGCGUAUGGGGCUUCGUCACCCGCUCUUGUAGGCCCGGCCGGCGCUUGCCGACACAUCAAUCUUUUUUCCAGGUUGACCUCGGAUCAGGUAGGGAUACCCGCUGAACUUAAGCAUAUUAAUAAGCGGAGGA